GCCGAAGUGGUGGAAUUGGUAGACACGAGGGAUUCAAAAUCCCUUGCUAUUAUUAGCGUGUGAGUUCGAGUCUCAUCUUCGGUA
rnacentral:tRNA from 1 species